UGGAAAUUCGUUGGAAGAACCCUAAUAAUAUCUCGACCUAGCCCGAUCUCUUCUCCUCACCUCUUGACCUAAUUUUUCUCCUUGCUUGCAAGACGGCGGCUGCGGCGAUUUUUCCGCCCAUCUCUUGACCGACGGCGGCUGCGGCGAUUUUUCCGCCCAUCUCUUGACCGGUUUGGAUUUGACGUGGCUGGGAGAGACGUUCGAUUUUAUUUACCUUUGUUAGGUAUAUUUAUUUACACAUGAUAUUUUAAUAAUGAUUGUAUGUUUUUAUUUUCCUCUAUUAUAUGUUAUUUGUAGUUGUAU